UGGAUGUCGAGUGCGGGCCGGGAUGACCCCCGCCGGCCCGGGGGGCGGGGGGGAGGAAGGCUGGUGCACUGAGGGGUGUGUGUGCGGUUUUACCAUCCAGAAGAGCGGCCGUCUCUCCCUGGCUCGGCCGCAUGUAGGCCCCAUGUGCUUUGCGUGGGAUCCCGGGCAGUGUGAGUCUCGUUUGUGGGUUCCUUCGAUGCCCCCGGGUUUCCCCAGCUCGUCCCAUGCCCUCUGACUUGUGGGUGAUUUUGUGUUUGGGGUAUUUUUCCCCAUUGUUGUCGUUUUUUGCAGGAGCUGGUUUGCAGCACGUCUAUCCUGCUCGGCAGUCAGGCUCCGCC